CUUUUGAUUAUAAUUUAAGGUCUGGCCUGCCCAAUGAAUUUUAAAUGGCCGCGGUAUABUGACCGUGCAAAGGUAGCAUAAUCAUUAGUUUUUUAAUUGAAAGCUGGAAUGAAAGGUUGGAUGAAANNAUAAUUGUCUCUAUUUGAAUUAUUUAGAAUUUUAUUUAUAAGUAAAAAAGCUUAUAUAUAAUUAGAAGACGAGAAGACSCUAUAGAGUUUUAUUAAUUAAUAUAAUGAAAUUUUUAGUAUUUAUAUUUUUUUAUAUAUAAUUAAAUUGAUUGGGGUGAUUGAAAAAUUUAAUUAACUUUUUUUUAUUAUACACAUUAAUUUAUGGAUAAUUGAUCCUUAAUUAAAGAUUAUAAGAUGAAAUUACCUUAGGGAUAACAGCGUAAUUUUUUUAGAGAGUUCAAAUCGAAAAAAAAGAUUGCGACCUCGAUGUUGGAUUAAAAUAAAAUUUUGGUGUAGAAGCUAGA
rnacentral:rRNA from 1 species